GACCCAGACACACCUUGGAGUCCCACGCUUCCCCUCGAAUACGGGGUCUAGGUCAGGUGUAAAUACCCCAACCCCUUCCACAAAAAAAGGAUUGGAUAGUCUUUACAUAUACAAGAAUCCUCAACUGACUUAGGCAUCGGAUGACUCACAGGCUCAACCCGAGUCCAUUCUUUAUUUGUCUUGUAGGUUCUACGAAGCGAGCCCAUGCCACUGCCCAAGCCGCGUAACACGACAUCAACGCUGCUAUUCUUGUUUCUUGGCUCCACACUUUCUUUUCUUUUCUUCGGGCUUAUGUCAUUGAAAAUCAAUGCUAUGUGGGUGGUGGUUCUUCAGGUUACCUAUAUUCAAGUUAGUCACAACGCUUCUUGAAAAUUCUUGCCUAGAUAAAUGUUCUGGAGACACCUAGUACAAGGGCAUUAAUUCAACAUAUUGAGCGCAAAAAAAGUUUAGGGGAGGCAGUGGUUCUGGCUCUUCAUGCUCUCUACGAUGUUCUGUUCUGGGUGAAAUAAAGAUGUCAGAGAUUUUGAAGGAGCUGGUACAUAUAGAUUUAACGAAUGUCAAGUGUACAAAAAAGUAUAUAUCUGAUGGAGCCAUGCCUUUGCCCGGUCAUGACGGCCCCUCUUGUUCUCUAAGCGAGAACCCCGCCACCAUGAAUAGUAGUGUGGUGGAUAUAGUUGCCACAAUUUCUAAGAAGAAGAAGAAGAAGAGAAAGAAGGGCAAGUCAACUAAAAGUUCCACUGAAGUUGGUUCUCUUCAGUUAUCCAGGGAGGGGAUGAACAAUCCCUCAUCUAAGUAUGACGAAGACUUGAAGAAUGAUCCUCCAUCUGCUGGUGUUAAUCUUCAAUUGGCACCAUGUACAUCUGAAUUUUGUGAAAAUCAGAAUGCGCGCUCACAAUGUCAAGAAACUCCCUCAAUGUUCCAAUAUCAGAAAUUCUAAUCUUACCGGCAAUUACUUACCAGAUGCUAUGAAGAAUCUUAAUGACUGUGAAUCCAGCAACAACUGUGAGGGCUCAAAAAUUAGCAGGCACGAGCCUGAAGAACUAAGCAACAACUGUUUUUCAGAGCGUCUUCAGAACCAGUCUCCCAGACAUUUAUCUCGAUGCAAUGCUUAUGAGAUAAUGAAUUCCAUGUCGUGUAAGGCCAAAAAUUGUAUUGGUGACAACCAUGGAGAUACCAAUAUCUGUGAACUGUGUCACAGUGCCUGGAAUGUUAAUGGUAUCCCUCCAUGUAAUGAUUUUAAAUCUAACAAUUUGACAUCUCAGUGCGAUGUUGUACCCAAAACUAACAGUCAUUUCCCUAUCCAGGUUGGGAGGGAAAAUAGCUGCUUAGUCUGGCAGAAGAAUCAGAACAAUGCAAAGGGUGCACAACCCAGCUGGCAAAGAAGAUCAAAUUUUUGUUAUGUAGAGAGGGAUGUUUGUCUGCUAGAGAAGGGUCUUUGGGUCAAGCGUAAUUCAUUUCCAAGUAGAGGACUGUUACCCAGUCCCUUAAUUUCACCUCCAGGCUACAAGAAAUCUGCACAUGGAAUUAAAACGAUGGUCAACAAGGAGUCAUUAAUGCAUACGAAUAUGCCACCAUUGGUCGAAUCUCCACAAUGGGCUUCUCAGCAGAAGUUGAUCAGGGUAUUUUAUAAACAUCUCUCACGGUUAAGUCAACCAAGUACCAUGGAAAUUGACUGUGGGAAAUCAAAAUCAUACAAUUCAUUCAAUCAUGAGAACAACUACAGUAGAAAGGAAGGACUGGGAAGCUAUGGUGGCGACUUCUUUAGGCUUCAUGAUAAGUCAGUUAUCUUUCAAAAAGAAUCAUCACAGGUUCGUUAUGAAAUGCAUCAGUACAAAAAAUAGUAGUUCUGCACAAAGGGCCAGUUACAAUAGUCAGCACACUGCAGGUUAUGGUACCUUCUGUUUAAAUUCAUCUCCUGCAUUUUCCCCUCUCAUAAGGCAAAAUGCACCUCCCUCAACAAAUUUGAUAACACCAGGUCAAUGUGAGCUAAAUGGGUUCCAGAGACACAAUUGCAUGAAGGCUCCAAGGAUGGAAGAUAUGCCAAGUAGGUCUUUUCGUGCACCUAUAGACAGCAAAUUGUGCCCAAAAUUGAAAUUUCAUACUGGACCUAAACAUAGCCCCCAAGUGUAAAGAAGUGGAUUCCCGUUGGUACAAAGACGUCCAAGCUUCCGAAACAAACUAGUUCUGCUGGUGAAUCCUGGAUUGCAGAAAAUUCCAGUGCCAAAGUAGAUGGUCAGGAAGUUGUAUCUGUAAGUGCUCAAGAUCACCAAAAAAAUGGUAAAAAACCCAACUUCAAUCCCAAGUUCUUACUAGGCUCACAUAUAUCUGCAGAAGCUUUAAAGGCAGCUUACCAAAUGCAACUUGAAUCGGAGGUCAUUCACCUUGUUAUGGGCUAUCCACUUGCAGAGUUUGAAAGGCUGGUCCAUUCUGCUGCUCCAGUAACCACUUCAUCAUGUGUACAUGAAAAAUGUGUUAUUUGCACAGAUAAUCAGCUGUCCCAUUGUUUCCUCUGCAAGCACCAGAUAUCUAAUGUAUCACUACGUGCCGUUUGGAACUGGUAUGAGAAGCCGGGGAAUUAUGGGUUGGAAGUCAGGGCAGAAGAUUCUCGGAAUCCAAAGGGGUUGGAUAUUGAUUCUAUGUCCUUCCAUGCCCAUUUUGUUCCUUUCCUUUCAGCCGUCCAGUUGUUUGGCUUCUCUCAUCCCCCCAAGCAUUCCGUUUAAAAUAGAGAGCAUGCCAACCUUGAAAUGCAGGGCAAAGGAGAACUCGAAUCUCACUCAUCUUUUCCCGCAACAUCGUUUGUCAGACAAUAUCCAGAAGAUUUUGAGGUUCAGUGCAAUGUCGAAGACGAUAUAGAACCAGUGGCUAAUUGUGACUCAGUUGAGGAACCUGUCAGCUCAUCGAAGUUUUCCCUAUGCAAUGAAAGUGAUAGUUUGAGUUUAGAUUGUUUGCCUACCUUCUUUGAAUUUUUCGAAUCUGAGCAGCCACAGAAUCGAAAGCCUCUUUAUGAUAAAAUUGUCUAGCUCAUUGACAGUGGAUCUUCUAAUAAUCAAAUAUAUGGUGACCCACCAAAGCUAGAACUUAUGAAGCUGCACGAACUACAUCCUGCAUCUUCGUGAGAACCUAAGUUUUCAGUGGCCUGGUAUCCAAUAUAUCGAAUUCCAGAAGGGAACUUCCGCGCAUCAUUUUUGACUUUCCAUUCACUAGGGCAUCUGGUCCACAAACUCCUUUGGAGUGAUUCUCUGAAUAAAGACGUAUUCUGGAUUGUCUUUCCCGUGUUAGGAUUGCAAAGCUACAAUGCACAGGGUGAAUGCUGGUUCAAUCAAAAAAUACCAGUUGAAACUUCUUAGAAAGAAUCAACACCUUUCAAUGGUUCUGAAAUCCUUAAAGAAAACUCAAAAAACUAGAGGAAAAUGCACUACUUUUUUCCAGAGGUUGUUUUUACAAAAAUAAUGCAAUGGCAGUCAACCGGCAGCCAGAUUAUGAGUUCUUUCUUUCCCGGAAAAGUUAAGUUGGUUUUUUCUUAUGCCAUAUCUUCCAAUGAGGACAUUUUUCUUACCAUUACUGUUUCAGAAUUGGGUUUAGUUACACCGGGGAUAUAUUUUUGGAAAGGAAAAAGAUGAGAUAGUAUCUUACUACUGUUUGGGCGGCCUUUGUUGGCAAUGUAAAACUUUCAAGUAGUUGAAAAGCUGAAGCCUUGUUCGAAAAGCCAAAAUAUGAACUUCGUAGCCAUUAAACCUGCUGCUUUGGACUAGCUAAAAUAGAAUAGUUGAAGCUUUCUGUCACAGUCUCCAUCACUUCCUUCAUAUAUGGCGAGGCACUAUUUAACAUCAAAACAUUAUUUUAUUCAAAUUACAUCUCUUCAACUGAAACAAAUUAUUUCCCUGAAACCGUUGUCUCCAAAUCCCUUUUCACUUUCUCUCCCUUUCUCCCUCGCCGAACAUCCCCCUUCAUUUUUUUCUCCCCCUUUCUCUCUUCCCUUCUCUUCCCUUUUCACUUUCUCUCCAUUUCUCCCUCGCCGAACAUCCCCCUUCAUUUUUUUUCUCCCCGUUUCUCUCUUUCCGUCUCUUUAUCAUCGGUUGUCUUUCGCCUGACACUCCCUCUCUCCCUUUCGCUCCAUUUUCUCCAUUUUUUUCCAGUUCUCUUGCUGUUUUCGUUACCUCAAGGCUGUCGAAGUUGGGAAUUUGGUACGAUGAGAAUGAGCCCUCGAUUCGCAAGAGAAAAUCGAUUUUAAUCAACUGGCCUUAUACUUAGGAUUCUAUUGUACUUCACAGAAGGCAUAUUUCGAGGGAAAUCCAUUUAAGACAGUUCCAGGACCCUUCAAGCUCUUCUGGCAUUGCAUGCUUUCUAAACCAGGGUAUGCUUGAUUUUUGGGUUGCAGUCCUAAUAUAUUUUUAAUUUCAUAAGAUUUGAAAUUUAAAUGUAAACCAUAAUUGCUAAAAUGCAUUUCGUAGAGUAUUAUCUAGGAGGUAGAGUCAUUUAUGAGAGUUUAUUCCCUAGGAGUGGUGAGGUUCCAUAUCAUAAAAAAGGAAAAAAUGUUGCUUUGCUGGCCUGUGUGACUUUAUUUAGUCACGGCUUAAAUAUGUUGAAGUUCUAGAUGUCAUUAGUGGAGUUUCAUUGUUUUCCUUUAGGGAGCUUUUGCAUUGCAUUGUGGAUGUUGUGAACUCUGCUUGUGUUUUAAUAUUCUGGUUUGCUUUGAUCUCACAUUUCACGUUUUAAAGAUGACUCUAGUUUUAUUUUAUAUUCUCUUCAAGUAAAGAUGCCUUUGUUUCAGCUGUUUUUGACCUGGGGAGAGGCUAUCUUGAUCUUUACAUCAAGCUGCCAUGGGAAUGGGUUUUCUAUGGGGUCAGAUUGUGGUAAGGUUGUGUUAGCCGUGUGGGCCAGACCAUGUUAAGGGUUUAAAACUAAGCAUGCCAAUGUUAUUUUGAUUUUAUUGCUAGAAUUCUUAUACAAAAGAGCGAAAAAGAAAAGAAAAUAAGAUUAAAACAAUCCUGGAAAUUCCUUUCACUUUGCUAGUUUUGGUCUCUUAUGCAUAUGGAAUACUUGAAGUGGAGGAAUGUAGCUGUCUUACUAUUCCAAAGUUGUAAGAAAAGAGUUUGCGAAGUAAACCGUGUUAUCUAUUUCCAAAUAUACACUCACUCCAUAUCACACAAAUUAAUAGAUAACUUCAUUGGAAUACAAAUAUGAAAUUUCGUUUGUUAAAUUACCUACCACCUUGGAAAUAGUAAAAUUUGAUUCUCUCUAUGUAUGAAUUUCUCAUGCAUCCUUUUCAUUUAAUUUCCCGAGUGUUAGAUAUAGACCUUUAACAAUUGUGUGGUUUUUAUUAAAGAUCAUGGCUGAUUUCAUCUAGUGUUUUCUUUGGUUUUUGAUGUAUGACAUGAAUCAGAAAAUUGGAUAUUUCAAAAGAAUGAAAUACUGCAAUUUUCCUUUGGUUUUCAUUCCUUUAGUUUUCAUUAUUCAAUUUUCCUUUGUUUAUGCAAUAUGAUGUUGAGAUAAUGCAAAAUCGACUGAAAUACUGCAAUAUGAUGUUAAGAUAAUGCAAUAUAGACUGAGAUACUGCAAUAUGGAUUGUUCAUAUACUUUAUAAUUUCUCAGCAAUAUGAUGCUGAGAAUUUAAUAUUGGACUUGAAUAUUGGGCAACUUGUCUGACUCUUUGAAAAUGUAAUAUUUUUCAAAGAUGGACACACACUUUGAUGAUGACCCCUUCUUCACCACUCUAUUACAAAGUGGAGGAGGAGGUUGUAAUAGUACCCCAACGCAACAUUCUAAGGUUGUUGUCCAAGCAACCCCAAAUGACGGUGAAAAGAGGCAUCCUUCAAAAAAUGGUCAAAGGGGUGCAUCUUUCACCGUUGAAGAGGAUAACCUUCUCGUCUCGGCUUGGCUCAACGUUAGCAUCGAUACGAUAAGGGGUACUGAUCAAAACUCCCCUUAAAUGUGAGAAUGAAUUACCACAUUUUAUCGUGAAUAUAAAAAACCGAACAUUACCAACCAUUCGGAGGGAUCAUUGAUGAAUCGGUGGUCCACGAUUCAAAAAUGGACAAAUAAAUUUUGUGCAUAUGUAGCACAAGUAGAGUCAUUGCACCCGAGUGGUGCAACGAAACAAGACAAGGUAUGUACUCUAAAACCUUUUUUCAUUUAAUUUGUGAUGGACUUACUUAUAAAUUAACAAAUAUUUCUUCAAUAUUGUAAAUUGAGAAGGCGAAGGUGUUGUACAAAGAGAUGCUAAGUUGUAAUUUUACAAUGGAGCAUUGUUGGUGUCUUCUGAGACACCAACCAAAAUGGCAACAACACAUCUCCACCGUUGGUAAGAAGAGAAGGUCACUUGAAAAAGUGUUUGGUAUUGUUGAUGUUGACCAAGCUGAGGAGGACAUAGAGGUUCUCGCUGAGAGACCUCCAAGCAGAAAAGCUGAGAAAGAAAGGGAGAGGAAGUGGAAGUUCAUGGAAGGCAACAAUGGUGAGAUCAAGAUUGCUUUAACUAAAAUAACCGAAGAUAGAGCGAUGACCAUGGAAGAGCGUAGAAAUGCUUAGCUGAAGUCAGACCUAGAAAGAUCAGUAGCAUUUGAACUAAAGAAAAAGAAGUUCGAGGCAAAGAUGAUGUUGCUAGAUCUAAGUGGCCUGAAUGCCAUGCAGCAAGAAUAUUUCAACUAUAUUCAACUCAAAAUUUUUAGAAAUGGAGAAAGGAUACUGGGUGUGCAUAUACAUCUCAUUCGACACCUUCAUCGACACUUUAUGGAGAUGUCUAACGUCUAAUGUUGGUAGUGAAGAUGUGUUUUGAAAUAUUAGUGGUUGCCCAACCACAUAUGGGCUAAAUAAACAUGUGGCUAAGUAGCAACUAAAUUAAUGAAUUGAUUAAUGGACCGUUUUAGUAAUUAGUGAACUGUUUUGGUAAUUAGUGAAAUUUUUUGGGGUACAUUAGUGGACUGUAGUGGGGUUUUUUGUGGAUUGUUGGUUUGUAUAUUUGUGGACUAUAUUGGAAAUAUAGAAAUAGAGUAUUAUGGAUGUUAGUGUUA